rfam:Actinobacillus minor NM305 Contig_171b, whole genome shotgun sequence.
UGUCAUAGCUGAGUUAGAGAUCGGCUAUUGAUGUAUUAUCAACCCUUAACAAAAAGGAAAUUAAAAAUGUCUCUAAGCGUAGAAGCAAAAGCAAAAAUCGUUGCUGAAUUUGGUCGUGAUGCA